UCCAUAAAAAGUUAGCCAAAUGCCUCGUCAUCUAAUUAGUGACGCUAAUGAAUGGAUUAACUAGAUUCCCACUG
rnacentral:ncRNA from 1 species